rnacentral:rRNA from 1 species
AACGAACGCUGGCGGCAUGCCUAACACAUGCAAGUCGAACGAGACCUUCGGGUCUAGUGGCGCACGGGUGCGUAACGCGUGGGAACCUGCCCUUAGGUUCGGAAUAACUCCCCGAAAGGGGUGCUAAUACCGGAUAAUGUCUUCGGACCAAAGAUUUAUCGCCUUUGGAUGGGCCCGCGUUGGAUUAGCUAGUUGGUAGGGUAAAAGCCUACCACGGCGACGAUCCAUAGCUGGUAAGAGAGGAUGAUCAGCCACACUGGGAGUGAGACACGGCCCAGACUCCUACGGGAGGCAGCAGUGGGGAAUAUUGGACAAUGGGCGAAAGCAUGAUCCAGCAAGGACGCGUGAGUGAUGAAGGCCUUAGGGUUGUAAAGCUCUUUUACCCGGGAUGAUAAUGACAGUACCGGGAGAAUAAGCUCCGGCUAACUCCGUG